rnacentral:ncRNA from 2 species
UAUGCGCCUUCUUGCCUCGGUUCCGGGUUCAUGCCCGGUGAAAAGGGAACGCGGUGCCAUUCCGCGACUGCCCCCGCAACUGUGAGCGGCGAGCGCCACCGGAAGAUGCCACUGGGCCGCAUAGGGUCCGGGAAGGCCCGGAAGGCGCAGUGACCCGCAAGUCAGGAGACCUGCCAGGGUGUUCACCCUCCC